GGAAAGGGCUGUAGCUCGGUAGUAGAGCAUCUGGUUUGCAUAUAGAGGGUCCCAUGUUCAAUCCAGGGUCUCUCCA